rnacentral:rRNA from 1 species
AUUGAACGCUGGCGGCAUGCUUUACACAUGCAAGUCGAACGGCAGCGCGGGCUUCGGCCUGGCGGCGAGUGGCGAACGGGUGAGUAAUACAUCGGAACGUGCCCAGUAGUGGGGGAUAGCUCGGCGAAAGCCGGAUUAAUACCGCAUACGACCUGAGGGUGAAAGCGGGGGAUCUUCGGACCUCGCGCUAUUGGAGCGGCCGAUGGCAGAUUAGCUAGUUGGUGGGGUAAAGGCCUACCAAGGCGACGAUCUGUAGCUGGUCUGAGAGGACGACCAGCCACACUGGGACUGAGACACGGCCCAGACUCCUACGGGAGGCAGCAGUGGGGAAUUUUGGACAAUGGGCGAAAGCCUGAUCCAGCAAUGCCGCGUGUGUGAUGAAGGCCUUCGGGUUGUAAAGCACUUUGGGCGGGAACGAAAAGGACUGUGCCAAUACCACGGUUCGAUGACGGUACCCGCAGAAUAAGCACCGGCUAACUACGUG